AGCCCAAGCCAGAGGCCUAGAGUGUGAGGAAGAGGGGAGAAAAAAUAGAAAAGAAAUUAAUAGGAUUUCACAAUCUUCAAGAAAUUUUCUCACAUUUUUACGUUUUGCCUCUUUGUACACUCAGCUGUGCAAUCAGACUGUUUUGAAUGAGUCUUUUAGGGUAUAAAUCCGUGGUUUAUCACGGGGAACUUUUUUUGGGAGAAUUAGAUACUAUUCCGGUGUCGGACCAGAUUUUGCAGUUCCCAAACAACGAGAUUCGAAUUCACCACUUGUCUCCAGGUAGCGAGCGAUGCAUUCCUCUCUCAAUUCUCCACACGAUUUCUUCAUCCUCGUUGCGUUGCAAGCUUGAAUCAUUGUCUCCAGUCGAACAGCCUCAUUUGAUCACUCUUCACGCCGCUUGCUUCUACGAAUUGAAGACAGCGGUUGUGGUUAUUGGAGAUGAGGAGGUUCACUUGGUGGCAAUGCCAAGUAAGCAGAAGAAGUAUCCGUGUUUUUGGUGCUAUUCGGUUCCCUUGGGUCUGUACAAUUCGUGUUUAGGAAUGUUGAAUUUAAGGUGUUUAGCGAUUGUAUUUGAUCUUGAUGAAACACUUAUUGUUGCCAACACGAUGAAGUCGUUUGAGGAUAGAAUUGAGGCUCUUAAAGCUUGGGUUGCACGAGAGACUGAUCCAAUUCGGGUUGCUGGAAUGACUGCUGAGUUGAAGCGCUGCGUGGAUGAUCGAAUGCUGUUAAAGAAUUACACAGAGAAUGAUUAUGUGAUGGAUAAUGGAAAGAUGUUUAAGAUUCAACAGGAGGAGAUUCCUCCGCUGUCUGAUAAUCAUGAGAAAAUUGUUCGACCUGUAAUUAGAUUGCAGGAAAGGAAUCUUGUUCUCACGAGGAUCAAUCCUGAGAAUCGUGAUACUAGUGUGCUUGUGAGGUUACGACCUGCAUGGGAAGAUUUGAGAAGUUAUUUGAUUGCGAAAGGACGCAAGAGGUUUGAAGUUUAUGUUUGUACCAUGGCUGAAAGAGAUUAUGCCUUAGAAAUGUGGAGGCUUCUUGAUCCAGAGGCACACUUGAUAAGUCCGAAGCAACUCGUGGACCGUGUUGUUUGUGUGAAAUCAGGCUCCAAGAAAUCUUUGCUAAAUGUCUUCCAGCAUGGAAUGUGCCAUCCAAAGAUGGCAAUGGUGAUUGAUGAUCGUUGUAAGGUGUGGGAAGAUAAGGACCAACCUCGAGUUCAUGUAGUUCCUGCAUUCAGUCCGUAUUAUGCUCCUCAAGCGGAGACAGCAAGUGCUGUUCCAGUCCUUUGUGUGGCAAGAAAUGUUGCUUGCAAUGUCAGAGGUUAUUUUUUCAAGGAGUUUGAUGAGAAUUUAUUACGAAGAAUAUCUGAAAUCUCUUAUGAGGAUGAUGUGAUAAAUUUGCCACCUGCUCCUGAUGUGAGCAAUUACUUGAUAUCAGAGGAUGCCAGUUUUGUACCAAAUGGCAAUAGCAAUGCCCCAAUCAGUGAAGGAAUGAACGGAGUUGAGGUGGAGAGGAGAUUGAACCAACCGGAUGAGAAGUAUGUUGUGGACUCAGUUAUGAAUCCUAUGAAAAAUAGCCUUGAUUCGAAACCUGAAACUUCUGAGCCACCUAUUGCAAUUAUUCCAAAUGUCAUUGGUCCAACAUCUUUAGCAACACUGAAUCCUUCUCAAAAACCUAGUUUGCUUGGGGCUCCUGUUAGGCGAGAGAACAGCUCUGUGAGGCCUGGUUUAGAUUUAAGGAAUCAAAGCUCAGGUCAGCCCCCUCUGCUACCUAGAUUACCUGUGCCAACACCAUCAUCCUCAAUUCAACCACAGGGAGGCUGGAUAGUGGAAGAAGAGGUUAAUCGAGUGCAUCAAAAUAAUCGACCAGGUUCAAGUUCAACUGGUUUACUGUUGCAUGCAUCCCAACUGAAGGGUGAAGAGGCAAAUAAUUUGCACAGACAAAAUAUGCUACCAACAACUCAGCCAGCAGAGGUUGGUGUAUCCCAAAAUCAUGCAUCUUCUAAUGGCAAAGAGGCUCAGAUUGAAGUUGGAAAAAUGAACUUCCUACCGCCCCAUUUGUCUAUUGGUGUGCUGCAAGAAAUUGGAAAGAGAUGCAGCUCAAAGGUCGAGUUUAGGUCUGUUGUAAGCACCAGUAAGGAUUUGCAAUUUUCUGUUGAGGUUUUGUUCACUGGUGAGAAGAUAGGUGUUGGAAUGGGUAAGACAAGGAAGGAUGCUCAACAGCAAGCUGCUGAGAAUGCCUUGCAUAGCUUAGCAGAAAAGUAUGUAGCAUACAUAACACCUCGCGGUGGAGCAGUGGAUAGAGAUUUUGAUAAGCUUUCUCUGGAAAAUGAAAAUGGGUUUCUGUGGGAGACUGUCAGUCCUGAAUCAGUCGAAGGGCCAAAAGAAGAGGAGUUACGCAAAGAAAGCACUCCUGAGGUGGGAAUUUCUGGUGAUGCUUUCAAUACUUGAUUUGAUUUCUUUGUUCAAAAACAUAGGUGAGGCUUGGAUAAAGGGUAUGUGGGCAAGAAAUUUCCAGAUGAGGGGUAGUGUUAUCUGGGGAGAAACCACUCCUUUUUUGGAUUUUGCAUUGCACCAAGAUGUGAGAACUAGAACACUGAAAGGGGAGUGAGCUGGCUUCAUAUCUGCUACUUCUGCCUUGACCAGGCUCCGGUAUUUCUAUUUUAAGAGGCUGCUGAUGUCGAACCUGGGAGUAGUUCCUCCAGUUUGGUAAAUCAGCAAGUGCAAAAACGUGCCAAUUUCCCCAGAUCGCCACAGUUUAUUCCAAGCAAACGGUCAAAGGAAGAACUCCAUGGUUCAGAUAGUUUAUCA